GGACCCUUAACUCAGCAGGUUAGAGUACCCGGCUCAUAACCGGGCAGUCCUGGGUUCGAACCCCAGAAGGUCCA
rnacentral:tRNA from 1 species